rnacentral:rRNA from 1 species
UAGGGAAUCUUCCGCAAUGGACGCAAGUCUGACGGAGCAACGCCGCGUGAGUGAAGAAGGAUUUCGGUUCGUAAAACUCUGUUGUUAGAGAAGAACAGCGCAUAGAGUAACUGUUAUGCGUGUGACGGUAUCUAACCAGAAAGCCACGGCUAACUACGUGCCAGCAGCCGCGGUAAUACGUAGGUGGCAAGCGUUGUCCGGAUUUAUUGGGCGUAAAGCGAGCGCAGGCGGUCAAUUAAGUCUGAUGUGAAAGCCCCCGGCUCAACCGGGGAGGGUCAUUGGAAACUGGUUGACUUGAGGGCAGAAGAGGAGAGUGGAAUUCCAUGUGUAGCGGUGAAAUGCGUAGAUAUAUGGAGGAACACCAGUGGCGAAGGCGACUCUCUGGUCUGUAACUGACGCGGAGGCUCGAAAGCGUGGGUAGCAAACAGG